rnacentral:rRNA from 1 species
AUGGCGCCGCUGUUGACCACGGCCAGGACGUGCUCGAGCUUGGCGGAGAGGUUGCGGAGCGCGGCGAGGCACGCCAGCCUUGUGUCGGCUGGGACGUCGGUGGCGGUGCGCGCGGCGACGAGGAAUGGGAGGAGGUCGGCCGUGGAGAGCGGAAACUCGGUGUUGGCCAGCGAGGAGACGGAGAGGAGGAGCCACGGCCACCAAAGCGAACCAGGCAUGGCGUACGGCGAAGUUGACCAUCGCGGGGUGCACACAACGCAGGAGGGCAAGAGUUUGGGCGUUUUCAUCUGCUGGCUUCUGGGCAACGGAUGCCUCUUCGGGUACAACAGCAUGCUCACCAUCGAAGAUUACUUCGUCCACCUCUUCCCGAACUACCAUCCGGUCAGAGUCAUCACUCUCACCUAUCAGCCGUUCGUGCUCGUGGUAGCUGCGGUGUUCGCGUACCAUGAGGCGAAAGUAAACACCAGGGUGCGCAACUUGGUGGGGUACUCACUCUUCUUCCUCGGCUCGCUCGCUCUCAUCAUCCUGGAUCUUGCGACGUCGGGAAGAGGUGGAAUCGCAACCUUCAUCGGCGUGUGUACGGUUGUGGCGGUGUUCGGCGUCGCGGAAGGUCACGUCGAAGGUGCCAUGACCGGGGACCUGUCCUUGAUGUGCCCGGAGUUCAUACAGUCAUUUUCUGCUGGCAUGGCUGCAUCGGGCGCAAUAACGUCGGCCCUGAGGCUGGUUACAAAAGUGGCCUUCGAGAAAUCCAGAGACGGCCUUCGCAGGGGAGCUAUGUUGUUCUUCAUUGCAUCAUGCUUCUUCGAGCUCCUGUGCAUCAUGUUGUACGCACACAUCUUCCCCAAGCUACCAAUAGUGAAAUUCUACCGUGCAAAGGCGGCUUCCGAGGGAUCUCUGACGGUCGCUGCUGACCUUGCUGCCGCCGGCCUCCAAAGACGCCCAAAACCAUCGGUAACCCCCUCAACGCCAGAUGAUAGAUCCAUAUGUACGUUCCAGGCUGAAGACCGCCCAUCCAUCCCCGAACGUUUGAGCAACAAGCAGCUCCUUAUGCUGAACAUGGACUACGCCUUGGACAUGUUCCACAUCUACCUGCUGACGUUGUCCAUCUUCCCGGGAUUUCUCGCCGAAGACCUCGGAUCGCACAGCUUGGGCUCCUGGUACGCGCUGGUGCUGAUCACGACCUACAACGACUCGGACAUGAUCGGGAGAUACGUGCCUCUAUUGGAGAGCAUCAAGGUGACGUCCCGGAGGGGACUGCUGGCCGCGGUGCUCGCCUGGUACAUGCUCCUCCCGGCGUUUUACUGCGCCGCCAGGUACGGAGGGGAGGCCUGGAUGAUCGUGCUCGUAUCGAUUCUGGGACUCGGCAAGGGAUACCUGACGGUCUACGUCCUGACCGAGGCGCCCAGACCCUACAAGGGGCCAGAACAGAAUGCUCUUGGAAACCUGCUCGUGUUUUGCCUAUUGGCAGGCCUAUGUUUAGGGGCUUUCCUUAACUGGCUGUGGCUCAUAGGCAAAGGAUGGCGAUCAAACCCAUGGCCCGCAUGUCAUCCAGACAUUUUUUGCGAGAAGAUAACGAUUUCAUAG